rnacentral:lncRNA from 13 species
UGCCCAAUAAGCCUGGAUGGGAUCUCAAGAAAGCAGGUGCCCCAUCCGUGCCUUCAAGCUGGGAGUCCUGGGGAGAUUUGAGUCACAUCCUCCUGUUAGGUGUGGAGGGACAGGGACAAGAUGAGAUGAUGUUUAUGCAAGUAUUUUGUAAACUCUAAAGUACUCAGUGAAUAGGCUGAAAUCUGCUGAGAAUAGCGGAAUAGUCCAUUUUUAAAGUAAGAAGGGAUAAAAUUCAUUGUGCAAGAAAAUCUGAGAAUAUAUUCAUAUUGUUGGCUUCAGGGAAAAAUUAUUCUGAGACAAUAAUUAUAUUCUACUGCUCCAACGAAGAGAGAAACAUUGGUGUUCAUUGUGGCAUCUUCUUGGACUCUAAGAGACAUCUGCCUCUGAGAAUGUCUCCGCAGAACUUAGAGCAUACCAGCCCUUUCUAUCAUGCCCCUACUAGUAGAAAAUAAAGUUCCUCAUCCAAGAAGAAGAAAACUUGGCUAAUUUCUCCCUACCAAAGAACAUUUGAAGUUCAGAAGCAUUUGGAUUUACUUUCCAAUAAGUGGUGACAUAAAUUCACUCUCCCAGCCUUUUACCAUCUGGAAUUCUUUUAGCUGGUACAUCAAUAGUAAGCUACCACAAGACAGUCACCCUAUGACUUUUUUCUGAAUGCAUAUUAACAAAAGCCCUGAAUGAGACCUAGGAUCAGAAGAGUCAUCCAAAGGAAAAAAGGAAAUACAAUUUAAUAUAGGAGUUUUAAAAUUAUGGGGUGAUUCUUUGGUAAUUUUUGUCAAGAAAAAGAUUAUUGCAUCUUUACAGUGACAUUG